AUUUUAUUUGAGAGAGAGAGAGUGAGCUUUCAAUGGGGCUCAAUCCCGGGACCCUGCGAUCAUGACCUGAGCCGAAAGCAGAUGCUUAACCGACGGAGCCACCCAGGUGCCCGUGAAAACAUUUGGUCGUCUUUAUGCUGUCUUUGCAGUCUUCCUACCACCUACCAUGUGAAUGGUGAUGCUCAGACUUAGGAAUGGGGAAUGGGUUUUCAGGAGAGCUCAGCAGUAUCUCAGUGUCGGAUGCCGUAGAGAUCACUCACCAAUCAGUCCAGGGCUGGUCCAACAGAGAGGGGCCAAUCACUGUUCUUCAACUACAGCCAGACUUGCCUGCACAGCAGUACCUGUGGCUCCAGACUGGAUGCCUGUACAGAAAUCUGGCUCUGGCAAUGGCAGCUGGAGAGGGUGAUGGGACCUCCUGCUAAAUGAAGUUCAGUCAAGGAAUGGAUGAGCUGCAAGAGUCACUUGC